rnacentral:tRNA from 1 species
CGGGGCGUGGCGCAGUUUGGCUUAGCGCACUUGAAUGGGGUUCAAGGGGUCGUCGGUUCGAGUCCGACCGCCCCGA